AUAACGUCGGAAACCGGAGCUAAUACCGGAUAAUAUAUUGAACCGCAUGGUUCAAUAGUGAAAGACGGUUUUGCUGUCACUUAUAGAUGGAUCCGCGCCGCAUUAGCUAGUUGGUAAGGUAACGGCUUACCAAGGCAACGAUGCGUAGCCGACCUGAGAGGGUGAUCGGCCACACUGGAACUGAGACACGGUCCAGACUCCUACGGGAGGCAGCAGGG
rnacentral:rRNA from 1 species